CAAUAGCGUAUACUAAAGUUGUUGCAGUUAAAAAGCUCGUAGUUGGAUUUCUGUUUUCAAAAAUGGGUCGUUUCCUCACGGAUUCUGUACCACAUUUCUUGAAUGCAUCCUCAAGGUACUGGAAGCUGGUAUUCAUUUAUCGGUUUUUUGGUCCUUGUCAUUUACUGUGAGCAAAAUAGAGUGUUCAAAGCAGGCUUAGGCCAUGAAUACAUUAGCAUGGAAUAAUAAGAUAGGACCUUGGUCUAUUUUGUUGGUUUACAUUCCAAGGUAAUGAUUAAUAGGGAUAGUUGGGGGUAUUCGUAUUCAAUUGUCAGAGGUGAAAUUCUUGGAUUUAUGGAAGACGAACUACUGCGAAAGCAUUUACCAAGGAUGUUUUCAUUA
rnacentral:rRNA from 1 species